rnacentral:rRNA from 1 species
GAUGAACGCUGGCGGCGUGCCUAAUACAUGCAAGUCGAACGCUCAAGCGAGGAGCUUGCUCUUCUUGGGUGAGUUGCGAACGGGUGAGUAACGCGUAGGUAACCUGCCUUGAAGCCGGGGAUAACUAUUGGAAACGAUAGCUAAUACCGCAUAACAAUGGAUGCCACAUGUCAUUUAUUUGAAAGGGGCAAUUGCUCCACUACAAGAUGGACCUUCGUUGUAUUAGCUAGUAGGUGAGGUAAUGGCUCUCCUAGGCGACGGUACAUAGCCGACCUGGAGAGGUGGUCGGCCAACCUUGGAAUGGAAACCCGGUCAGGACCCCACGGGAAGCAGCAGGAGGGGAACUUCGGCAAUGGGGGGAAACCUGGCCGGGGAACCGCGCGUGGGGGGAGGAAGGUGUCGGGACGUAAAGAUCUGUUGUAAAGCGAGGACCGGGGUGGGAGUGGAAUGUGCACGCUGUGACGGUAGCUAACCAGAAAGCGACGGCUAACUACGUG